CGCUGGGAAUACCCGCUGGUGGAUCGGGUGGUCCUGGAAAAAUUUAAUCAAGCCGUUACUCACAGGUGGAAAUAUUUUAUAAAAAAUAUACCCGUGAGCCUAGUUUGAAGCUCGUAGCAAUGGCCCUCCAUCACGAUAGAUUCAUCAGGAAGGGAUUGCAAAAAUUUUGGUGCAUUUUUGUCAGACGUAGACGGAUCAUGGGGGUCAAGAACGAUCACCUGGAAUAAUCGACAAGAACAAUUGUAAGUAAAUUGACUAACAAUAGAAUGUCAGUAUAUUCAAGUGUUUACCUGACAAGUAUUUUUCGUGGAACCAAGGACGUUCGUUGCCACGCAGGUGUAUUCACCCGCGUCACUUGCUUUCACUUUUGAAAUUUCUACUUUGGCGGUUUUACCAUCGAAGUAUCUUUUUAUUCGAUUCGAUCGUUCCAACGGUCGUCCAUUUCUUGAUAUCAUAAAUAAUCAAAAACAAUAAUUAUUUCUUCGAAUUAACUAAUAAGGGAUAAAUUUGAAUUUUACCUGAACCAUGUUGGUGUCGGACUCGGCGUUCCUCUGAUGCUACAAUCAAGAUAUAAUCGUCCAUUUAUUCUACUGGUCGUGUCUAAGAGGCUUCGACCAAAAGAUGGGUAAGUUCUGGGCGAUGCACUCCUGGUUCUGAUGGUUCGAGACACUGGGCCAAGUAACUGACGAUCUAUUCGAAACAAAGGCACGUGAAAUAUUAUUAAUCAUAAUAUUAUUAAAUGUUAUUUACGUACUUAUAAUUUCCAGACGAGCACUCGCUUCGAUGCGACCAUAAUCGUUCUCCGCUAUCACUCUGUACAAUCCUGCGUCCUCUUGGGUAACUUCGACGAUCUCCAAUAUUUUAACAUCGUCUCUUUCUUUUAUAGAGAUCCUCGCCGUAGGGGUUACCGCUAAACCAUUCUUGUCCCAUUUCACCCACGGCGUUGGAUGACCCACCACGGCGCACUGGAAUCGUACGGUUUCACCUUCCUCGACGACCCGGUUGUGCGGAACCGCGUAAAAUUUCGGCGGACUGAUUUUUGGUCGUCUCAACAUUGAUCUGCUUCGCGGUAAAAGCUGCGGAGACCUCAAUUCUCGGCCAUCUGUAAAAUAUUUUUCAUUUCAGGUUCUUCGUUUUCUUGGAAUAUCGUUUGUUCGACGAUGGAUCGUUGCGAGAAAUAAUUUUUCAUAACAUUUAUAUAAAUAUUUGUACUCACGCGACACGGCUGGAGAUAAGCUUCUAAUCGGCGUCGAUCGCGGCGUCGAUCUCGGUGUAGAUCCUGCUGACAACAAACCCGCAGGCCUCGUAAGUCUUUGGCACAAAACAUUUUCCUUCCCCUCAGGAACUGGAACAUUAUGCAAUUUUUUUUUUAUAAAGAAAAACACGUCUAAUCAAUUAAGAGUAAUUUACAAGUUGUUUUUCAUUUCCUUGUUACAGAUUACUGAAUCGUAGGCGACGAGCAAGUUCCUUAUCGUCGAAUUUUAAUAAAACUAGUCUCUAAGUGUAUUGCAUGAAUCAAUUUGCAUCGAAUAUACGGUAGCAAUUGAAAAA